rnacentral:rRNA from 1 species
GACGAACGCUGGCGGCGUGCUUAACACAUGCAAGUCGAACGAAGUGGCGAACGGGUGAGUAACGCGUAAUCAACCUGCCCUUCAGCGGGGGACAACAGUUGGAAACGACUGGUAAUACCGCAUACUGAAGGAGGGGAUUGCGUCUGAUUAGCUAGUUGGAGGGGUAACGGCCCACAAAGGCGAUGAUCAGUAGACGGUCUGAGAGGAGGAACGGCCACAUUGGGACGGAGACACGGCCCAGACUCCUACGGGAGGCAGCAGUGGGGAAUCUUCCGCAAUGGACGAAAGUCUGACGGAGCAACGCCGCGUGAGUGAUGAAGGUUUUCGGAUCGUAAAACUCUGUUGUUAGAGAAGCGGUAUCUAACCAGAAAGCCACGGCUAACUACGUGCCAGCAGCCGCGGUAAUUC